rnacentral:ncRNA from 1 species
ACCAUUACCGUGAGGGAAUGCAGAACGUACAGAAGUCAGCCGAGGUCAUAGUAGCCGAGAGGCGAAGGA